CAUUAAAUUUAAACAUAACUUGUUGAGUAAAAGAGUAUACAAGACCCUUUGAAAAGUAUUCCAGAUAUCAAGUGGAAUUGUAAUCAUCUACACGGCUGGGUAAUAAUCGGAGAUGUGCGCCCACAUAAGAAAUCGAACUCUGACUGAAUCGGUGACUGCUUUCGCAUGCAUCGACUUUUUAUGGCCGGCUACCGUCGAAAACAAUGGACUGAAAUGGAAAAAUAAUGCAAAAUCAUUUAGAUUACCUUCUAGGCCAAAGGGGACAUUAUUUCCCCUGGUAAAGUCAUAAAAUCCUGCAGCGAAUACAAUUCUCAUCAAGUCGCAAGUUUCCGCUAACCAACUGAAUACAAACCACAACGAAUCAGCUUUACAAAAAGGUCUGAUUAUCGGUGUUGACGGAUUUUUGCAAAAAAUCUUUCCCAGAAAUGACUGAAUUCCGGACUUUAUUAGACAACAACAAAAAGGAGUCACUUUCAAUGGAU